rnacentral:pre_miRNA from 1 species
CGUGCACCGGUGGGGUCCCUUGGCCUGGCCUGCACCCUUUUGAAACCAGGACCCCUUGGGGGAUGUCAGAGAGCUGGUUUCAGCCAGAUCCCUGCAGGCCAGGCCGAGGGACCCCACCGAUGCACG